CGGCAGACUUAACACAUGCGAGUCGAGCGAGAAACCACUUCGGUGGCGGAGAGCGGCGAACGGGUGAGUAACACGUAGGUUACGUGCCCUUUGGUGGGGGAUAGCCCAGGGAAACCUGGAUUAAUACCGCAUACGUCCUUCGGGAUGAAAGCCUUCGGGCGCCAGAGGAUCGGCCUGCGGCCCAUUAUUUAAUCCUGGAUGGUAAGGUAACGGCUUACCAUGGGUACGAUGGGUAGCUGGUCUGAGAGGAUGAUCAGCCACACUGGGACUGAGACACGGCCCAGACUCCUACGGGAGGCAGCAGUGGGGAAUAUUGGACAAUGGGCGAAAGCCUGAUCCAGUCAUGCCGCGUGUGUGAUGAAGGCCUUCGGGUUGUAAAGCACUGUCGGGAGGGAAGAAAGCUUCGGCUUGACGGUACCUCGCAAGAAA
rnacentral:rRNA from 1 species